AAAAAGAUAAAAAAUACAAAAAAGGAAAAAGAAAAGGAGUGAAUAAGCAAAAGCAAAAGGUACUUUGUCGCGGUCUGAGGUCGUCGCCGUUCAGAGACACUGCGGAGGAAGAAAUCUGAUUGAAGUUCCAUGACCAAUCACUGGCCAAAUAACCGAAAAAACUUUGGUGAAUUUUUUUUGGGCUCUCUCUCUUAUUUUUUCUUUUUCUUCCGUCAUUUUCAGCCUGAGAUUUCUUCGCUCCUUUUGUAAUCGAUUGCGGAGUUCUCACGCGUGGCUUGAAAUUCAGCUUUCUCGGCUAAAUUUCUCUGCUCAAUUCCGGGUUUUGGCGGAGAUUCCUAGGGUUUCCGCAAGGUGGGUACUUUUCGUUUGCCGUGUGAUUUGAUAGGUCGUCUCUGAUUUUAUCUGGGCAUGCUUCAAUUUUCCUGGCGGGGUUCUCAGAUUUUGGGAAAUUUCGCUGGGAAAAUCCUCUGUUGUAUCCAAAUAAAGAGUUACAUCGAUUGAUGCUGCGUUGUUGAACCGGUAAUCGAAGCCUAUAGGUCUUUAAAGGUUUGGUAUUGUUCCUCGUACUAUUUGACGGCAUUUCCCGCACAGUCUUUUCUGCAUGAACGACCAAUACGCUCAAAGUCAUGAGGACACAAGGGUUGCAGGAUUCUAGGUUCCUGUCUCGCCAGCUUCGAGCUAUGACAAUGCACGCCCGGGAACUGAAGACGACUCCCGAGAACCUCCAGCCGCCCCUCCACACCUUCUUCGGUCCCUUGUUGGCUUCCCGGCAAGCGCAGAGACUGUGCCUGCUCCUCACAGCGUCGUCCUGAACCAUCUUUACAUCGAAAACCGAGAGGCCCCGAGAUCUGUCGUGGCCCUCGGGUUCACUCAUCGGUUCAGGUCUAAGUAUGUCACUGUGGUUCUGUACAAACCGGUUCAAAGAAGAGGUAAUGCCAAUGCUUGAUCUUUUCAAAACGUGGGUUUGGUUUGGUUAUAUGGAUUUGGCAUUUUGUCUGGUGGUUUAAACCCGGUUUACCAAACCAGCAGGUGAGACCUAUUUUUUUUUUUAUUCUUUUACGGCAAUGGUUGUUUAAAUAAAUUUGAUUGAAACCAUCUCGUUGCCGUUUGUAUGGUUUACCUGCAUUGUUAGGGGUAAACAUGUUGAGAUUUUCAUCUGCUUGUUGCAAUUUCCGUCUAAACCGGUUCGGUUAACCGACCUUGAGAAUC